GUUUUCGAAGGGCAAAACAUGGACCAAGAUGGCGUCGUUGUGAAGCGGGAUUGUUUAAUUGUGGAGUUUGUCUGAAUGUAAUGCAUGGACAUGAUGGACAUGAUGGAUGCACUCAGGGUUAUUCAGAAUAACUUCAGUUUCCAUUGACAGCAAACUGAAGUUAUUCCACCAUCAGCAUGAGGAGACCUUGAGCUGGUGGCAUGGAACCACUGCCAGGAGCCGAGUGGACCCCUGUUAUGAGAAUCUAUCGUCUGAGGCUGCAGCAAUAUCCUUCGAUUCAAGGAUUGUACCUGAAACAAUACAAGAUCACCGGUAAAGUGCAACCAGUGGAACGGAAGAAGAAUUCCUCACUACCUGUAAAGGGUGCGUAACUGGUGGCAUGGAAGUCAGACGCAGGAGAGCAGAACUGGGUAAUAACCGGAGCAGUUAAA